AGAGUUUGAUCCUGGCUCAGGAUGAACGCUGGCGGCGUGCUUAAUACAUGCAAGUCGAACGGAGAGUUUUGUAGUAAUACGAAACUUCUCAGUGUCGAACGGGCGAGUAACGAGUUGGUGACCUGCCCCGAAGUGUGGGAUAACAGUCCGAAAGGAUUGCUAAUACCGCAUGUGAUUAUCGGUUUUAGAAUCUGAUAAUUAAGGCAGUAAUGCGCUUCGGGAGGGACCUGCUUCCCAUCAGCUAGUUGGUGAGGUAAUGGCCCACCAAGGCUACGACGGGUAUGGGACCUGAGAGGGUGGUCCCACGCAAUGGCACUGAAACACGGGCCAUACACCUACGGGUGGCAGCAGUAGGGAAUAUUGGGCAAUGGGCGAAAGCCUGACCCAGCAACGCCGCGUGCACGAUGAAGGCCUUCGGGUCGUAAAGUGCUUUUCUGAGGGAUGAGUAAGGACAGUACCUCAGGAAUAAGCCUCGGCUAACUACGUGCAGCAGCCGCGGUAAAACGUAGGAGGCAAGCGUUAUCCGGAUUUACUGGGCGUAAAGCGUGUGUAGGCGGUUCGGCAAGUUGGAUGUGAAAGCUCCUGGCUUAACUAGGAGAGGUCGCUCAAUACUACCGAACUUGAGGGCAUCAGAGGAAGGUGGAAUUCCCGGUGUAGUGGUGAAAUGCGUAGAUAUCGGGAGGAACACCAGUGGCGAAGGCGGCCUUCUGGGAUGUUCCUGACGCUCAGACACGAAAGCUAGGGUAGCGAACGGGAUUAGAGACCCCGGUAGUCCUAGCAGUAAACGAUGUAGACUUGGUGUCGGAGGUGUCAAAACCUUCGGUAUCGUAGCUAACGCGAUAAGUCUACCGCCUGGGGACUACGGCCGCAAGGUUAAAACUCAAAGGAAUUGACGGGGGCCCGCACAAGCAGCGGAGCGUGUGGUUUAAUUCGAUUUUACACGAAGAACCUUACCCAGGUUUGACAUGUUGGUGGUAGGAAUCCGAAAGGUGACCGACCCGCAAGGGAGCCUUCACAGGUGCUGCAUGGCUGUCGUCAGCUCGUGUCGUGAGAUGUUCGGUUAAGUCCGCUAACGAGCGCAACCCUCGCCGUAUGUUACAUGUGUCAUGCGGGGCCGCCGGUAUCAAGCCGGAGGAAGGUGGGGAUGACGUCAAGUCAGCAUGGCCUUUAUAUCUGGGGCUACACACACGCUACAAUGGCCGGUACAAUGGGUCGCUAAGCCGCAAGGUAGAGCCAAUCCCUCAAAGCCGGUCUCAGUUCAGAUCACAGGCUGCAACCCGCCUGUGUGAAGUUGGAGUUGCUAGUAAACGCGCGUCAGCUAUAGUGCGUUGAAUACGUUCUCGGGCCUUGUACACACCGCCCGUCACGUCAUGGGAGCUGGUAACACCUGAAGCCGGUAGCCUAACCGCAAGGAGGGCGCUGUCGAAGGUGGUGCUGGUGACUGGACGAAGUCGUAACAAGGUA
rnacentral:rRNA from 1 species